UAGAAAAAGCUGGGAACAGAGGUUACCAGAGGUUAGAUUACAAACUGUAAAAAACCCUCGUCCUUCAUCAGAGUGCUUCUCGGCAGGAUCAAAGCUGCAGUUGGGUGCUCGGUACUUAUCUCCUCCCACGUUCUCUUGCACGGGUGAUCGUGAUGACUAAGAUGCUGAUGAUUAUGAUCAUGAUGCUGAUAUUGGAGGAUCUUAGUGUAUCAACAAAGUGAUGGUCGUAAGGGUGAUCAUGCCGAUUAGGAUGCUGAUGUUGGAGGAUUUUCGAGUAUUUAGGUGUUAGUAUUGUACUGCUUGGAUGAUAUUUGGAACAUAUGGUUGUGUUGCUGAAAUUUUAAGGAUAUUGAUGUAAAUUUUGAUGUUAAUAUUGUUGGGUUAUUCAAUGCGAUCAAUUUAAAUACA